rnacentral:ncRNA from 2 species
UACUUGUGUAGAGGAGCGAUCACUAUAAGUAUUUUUCUGAGUGGAUAACGAAGAGGAAAAAGGAAAGGAGUGACCGC